UACGUAGGUGGCAAGCGUUGUCCGGAUUUACUGGGCGUAAAGAGCGCGCAGGCGGUCGUUCAAGUCGCGUGUGAAAGCCCCCGGCUCAACUGGGGAGGGUCACGCGAUACUGAUCGACUCGAAGGCAGGAGAGGGUAGUGGAAUUCCCGGUGUAGUGGUGAAAUGCGUAGAUAUCGGGAGGAACACCAGUGGCGAAGGCGAGCUACCUGGCCUGUUCUUGACGCUGAGGCGCGAAAGCUAGGGGAGCAAGCGGG
rnacentral:rRNA from 1 species